UGAGCGAAGUGAGAGGAGCGGUAUGUGUUUGCAACCACUGUGAUGUAAACGGAGUUGUGUACUGAAUGUAGAGAAGAAAAAUUGACAUUGAAGUAUCGAUUUCAUCACGCGAGUAUCAAUCAAUACUGAUACCAACGUUGGUAUCGAUACUAUCGAUACUUUAAAUCGAUCCGCCCACCCCUAGUGCGCAUGUAGUCUAGCGCCCAUGCCUUCGAUUCCAGAGAGAUGUCUAUUUCAACGACUAUUUAAGUACCGUAAAAUUUAUUUUCGUCAAGGAGCCUUACUCUGGUGGAUUCCGUGGUUUCUAUUAGGUCUCUCUGCUGCUGCAGGUCAGGAUGGAGGGAAGCUGACUGGAGCAGUAGGAGGAGACAUCACACUUCCUGCUUCAGUAAAAACAUCAGGCUCUUUAGAAUAUAGGGACAAGGAUAUAUGUCAAGUGUUAAAAGGAGACAGUGAAGUCUACAUUGAAGACUUCAGAGAAAGACUCCAGUGGAACAGACAGACUGGACUGUUCACCAUCAGAGAACUCAGGAUAAAUGAUACAGGGCCGUAUACGGUGAAAGAUUCAAUAGGGCAAAACAAUUCUUUAUUUCAUCUGACAGUUUACAACCAGGUCUCCAAACCCCAGGUGAGAGCUGCUGCCCCCUGCUGGGUGGUGUGUUCUGUGGAGAACGGGAGAGACGUGAGCCUGUCCUGGUACAGAGGAGACCAGACCAGCAGUCCUGCAGACCAGCAGUCCUGAUCUCUCCAGGGUCCUGUCUCUGGUCCUGGUUUCAGACUCCAACACUUCCUACAGCUGUGUGGUGGAGAACCCAGUCAGCAGAGAGUCUGUCAACAUGCCAGAUACAUGCAGAACUAUUGGUGAUCCUAAACCAGAUGGUGUUGAAGGAAGACUGUGGGUUCUACUGUUGUUGCUGUGUCCUGUUCUGUAUUCAUCAUUGUGUUUGUUCUACUGGUGGUGUAUCUGAAGAGGAAAACACCAGCACACACACAACAAGGCAGGUAUUUAUCUGUGGGGAACUGUUAGCUGUGAAGCGUGAUCUCCCUCAGUGUCCUGGCUUGUGAUUGGUCCAGUGAUCAGGAGGUAUGUUUGGUACUUUAGAUCUGACGCGUCUCACAUUCAGAGUCUUGCUUGGUGAAACCACACAGUGUUUAGUUUCCUCAGGGAAGAUGAGGGGGGAGUCACUAGAUAAUGUUAGGAGACAGUUCCCUACCCCCCUCUGCAUCUCUGCUUUUAAGCUCUACUCACCUGACGUUGCGAUUGGUCGAGAGAGGUGUCCGUAUAAAGAGCACCCCUAUCAGAACUUCUAUUUUUUAAAUCUGAAUUAUGAUUGGUUGAUAUAGCCCUUCCUGUUCUGUGUGUGUCAGUCUCAUCUCUCCUUCUGACAUCAGUCUCUGUCCUUGUAGGUUCAGACUACUCAGAAGAUGAAGAUCAGUGUUCAGAAUAUACUACUGUUAUUUACAAGAGGAGCGAACAGAUCCAAGACAAGCUGCUGAAAGACACAUACACAUGCUGUUACAAACUUGCAUCAGUUCCAGAACCUUCUUAAAGUUGUAAUUAAAAGUUAAUCUACAGAACGGUAUUUACACUUAUCCGAUGUUACACCGACAUAGUCUCUACCAUUCCAGUAUUAUUCCAUGUGCUUGCAGAACAAUUACCAAUGAAGGCACUUAUGCACUUAAAUAAUAACUUAUGAGACUAAAUGUGUGUUUGUGUGUUUGUGUCAGGUUAGUGUCUGUGUGCAGUUUGUCCUCUUGAUUAAAGCUGCAGGAACCAAGGUUUGGGUUGCCUGGCAACAAGCAUCCAUUCAGCAUCUUUGUCAAAUA